rnacentral:rRNA from 1 species
GAAUUGUUCGCAAUGGGCGCAAGCCUGACGACGCAACGCCGCGUGGAGGACGAAGAUCUUCGGGUCGUAAACUCCUGUCGAGCGGGACGAACACUUGCCGGGUAAACAAUCCGGCAGGCUGCCGGUACCGCUAAAGGAAGCCCCGGCUACCCCCGUGCCAGCAGCCGCGGUAAUACGGGGGGGGCAAGCGUUGUUCGGAAUUACUGGGCGUAAAGGGCUCGUAGGCGGCCAACUAAGUCAGACGUGAAAUCCCUCGGCUUAACCGGGGAACUGCGUCUGAGACUGGAUGGCUGGAAUACGGGAGAGGGAUGCGGAAUUCCAGGUGUAGCGGUGAAAUGCGUAGAUAUCUGGAGGAACACCGGUGGCGAAGGCGGCAUCCUGGACCGGCAUUGACGCUGAGGAGCGAAAGCCAGGGGAGCAAACGGG